CCCAGUAAACGGCGGCCGUAACUAUAACGGUCCUAAGGUAGCGAAAUUCCUUGUCGGGUAAGUUCCGACCCGCACGAAAGGCGUAACGAUUUGGGCACUGUCUCAACGAGAGACUCGGUGAAAUCAUAGUACCUGUGAAGAUGCAGGUUACCCGCGACAGGACGGAAAGACCCCGUGGAGCUUUACUGUAGCCUGAUAUUGAAAUUCGGCACAGCUUGUACAGGAUAGGUAGGAGCCUUUGAAACGUGAGCGCUAGCUUACGUGGAGGCGCUGGUGGGAUACUACCCUAGCUGUGUUGGCUUUCUAACCCGCACCACUUAUCGUGGUGGGAGACAGUGUCAGGCGGGCAGUUUGACUGGGGCGGUCGCCUCCUAAAAGGUAACGGAGGCGCUCAAAGGUUCCCUCAGAAUGGUUGGAAAUCAUUCAUAGAGUGUAAAGGCAUAAGGGAGCUUGACUGCGAGACCUACAAGUCGAGCAGGGUCGAAAGACGGACUUAGUGAUCCGGUGGUUCCGCAUGGAAGGGCCAUCGCUCAACGGAUAAAAGCUACCCCGGGGAUAACAGGCUUAUCUCCCCCAAGAGUUCACAUCGACGGGGAGGUUUGGCACCUCGAUGUCGGCUCAUCGCAUCCUGGGGCUGUAGUCGGU
rnacentral:rRNA from 1 species